rnacentral:rRNA from 1 species
GUCUAUGACCAUAUCACCCUGAACACACCUGAUCUUGUCUGAACUCGGAAGCUAAGCAGGGUCAGGCCUGGUUGGUACUUGGAUGGGACACAGUUGUGUACAUUAACUUUAUAAAAG